UACGACUACAUAUCAGGCAUAUCAAUAAGCGGAGGAAAAGAAACUAACAAGGAUUCCCUUAGUAACGGCGAGUGAAGCGGGAAGAGCUCAAAUUUGAAAUCUUCAAGGUUCUACCUUGACGAAUUGUAGUUUAAAGAAGUGUUUUCUGUUAGAGGAGUAGCAAAAGUUCCUUGGAAUGGGACAUCAUAGAGGGUGAGAAUCCCGUAUUUGGUUAUUCUUUCUAGCUUUGUGAUACACUCUCAAAGAGUCGGAUUGUUUGGGAAUGCUAGUCCAAAAUGGGUGGUAAAUUUCAUCUAAAGCUAAAUAUUGGCGAGAGACCGAUAGCGAACAAGUACCGUGAGGGAAAGAUGAAAAGAACUUUGAAAAGAGAGUUAAACAGUACGUGAAAUUGUCAAAAGGGAAGCGUUUGACACCAGUGUUGUUUAGUUGAAAAUCAAUUCAAUAGUUUUUGAUUCUAAGUAGUAUUGACUUCAUCAGCUUGCUGCUUUCUUCUCAGAAAUUAUUGAAUGCACUUUUCAGUUAACAAGUCAACAUCAAUUUCUUUUGUUGUAAAAGGGUAUAGGAAGGUGGCUUUCUCUUCGGCUCAAAGUGUUUAUAGCCUUUAUACUCUACAAUCGGAGAGAUUGAGGUCUGCAGCGUAGAUCCUUCGGGGUUAGAUACACUUGUGCUAAGCUAUAGCCUUUUAUAGACAACUUGUUGACUAUGCUUCAGUCAUGUAGCUUACUCGCUGAUGCUAUUUUACCUACGCUUAGGAUGUUGAUCUACAGAGCGAGAGU
rnacentral:rRNA from 1 species